rnacentral:rRNA from 1 species
UACGUAGGGAGCAAGCGUUGUCCGGAAUCAUUGGGCGUAAAGCGCGCGUAGGUGGCUUCGUAAGUCCGUUGUGAAAGUCAAAGGCUCAACCUUUGAAAGCCGAUGGAUACUGCGGAGCUAGAGUACGGAAGAGGCGAGUGGAAUUCCUGGUGUAGCGGUGGAAUGCGCAGAUAUCAGGAAGAACACCAAUGGCGAAAGCAGCUUUCUGGGACGGUACUGACGCUGAGACGCGAAAGCGUGGGGAGCAAACGGG